CACGGAGUGGAACAGUCUGGUAGUUCGCCAGGUCACGGCCGCAUAGCCGUCUGGAAAUCGGUGGUUUAAAUCCAUCCUCUGUGA
rnacentral:tRNA from 1 species